UAUUCAAAAUAUAUUUAAAGACCACUUUAUGGCUUGGAAUCUCUCUCUGUUUCUCAUGUCUGCUGCCUGAGAGAGACUGAGGAGCUACUGCUGCUGCUGCUGCUUUGGUUGCCUUGCCUUGUGGCCUGGACUGGUGGUCUCCAGAGAGAGAGUCACAUCCCAUAACAUGCAGAAGCCCACACAGAGUGGGAGAAAAAUCCUCAGCAUUGGGAAUCUGACAGCAUGGUUGCAGAAGAAUGAUCCAUUCUGUGGUGAAGGCUCUGUGGGGAGUCGCUGUCGAGUCUGCCAGAAACUUCUUUGGCAACGGAGGAGAAAUGUGUUGGGAAUUCUUUCUGGAUCCCAAAUGCCAGAGAACACACUCAGACUCACAUCAGGACAACGGUUAAGAACUAAUCUUGAAGACAAAAUUAAUUGCAGCUGCAGCAGUCUGGUAUAGAUUAAAGAGCACUGCCUCAUAAGUUUCCUGUUAAAUUAUCUCUUAAGACUUUCUUUGUGGAGAUUAAUAAUGUUCAGAAUACUGCUAUCUUCAAUAGUCAAUUUCCAGUA